CACAACUCUGCACAAGCAUGAGCCCAAGAAUAUCAAGGAAAAAGGAGAGAUUUAGAGACAAAUAAACAACUACAACCUGGGAGACAAACAAAUCUAGACACAAUUCAAACGUAAGACUAUUUGUAUCCGUCAACAAAAAUGGAUUGAGAGGAACAAAAAGAGGGGAGGGGCAUUUUCAUGUGUCUCAGAACGCCAAGUAGAAAAAGCUGGAAUAAGAAAGGAAGGAAAAAUCAGGCAAAAUGGGAUUUUGAAGAGGGGGAAGAAGAAGGAUUUUUCUUGAAGAAAGAAAGAAAGAUGAUGAAGGAAAAAGGACAGAAGAGGGUAUCUUUUUUCAGUGGGAAGCUGUGUGGAGAAGGAGGAGGAGCCUCGUUUGUAGAGAAUGAGAUUGAAAGAAUUUCAAGGGAUGAUAGAAGUUCCCAUCACAGCAUUUCCAGCGGUAUUCUUCCAUCUCUUGGUGCCCAUAGCAACAAAAGGCCCAAGCUUCGUCGUUGCAUCAUCUCCCCUUUUGAUCCCCGUUACAGAGUUUGGGACACAUUUCUGGUAUUCUUGGUCUUCUAUACAGCAUGGGUCUCUCCAUUUGAGUUUGGAUUCCUAGAUGAACCCUCAAUAGCUCUCUCAAUUACAGACAAUGUUGUUAAUGGAUUUUUUGCUAUUGAUAUCAUUUUAACAUUUUUUGUGGCAUACCUUGAUAAGGCAACAUAUCUUCUUGUGGACAACCCAAAGCAGAUAGCAUGGAGGUAUACAAGAACAUGGUUGCUUUUUGAUGUGAUAUCCACGAUCCCUUCUGAAUUAGCAAGGAAGGUUUUACCUAAACCUCUGAAACAAUAUGGCUACUUCAAUAUGCUUCGGCUCUGGCGUCUUCGUAGGGUCAGUAAAAUGUUUGCAAGGUAAUCUCUUUGAUCCAUUUCCAUAUACUUACUAUAUUUCUUAUCUUGCUAAGAUUUUUUUUUUUUUUGAGAAAUUUUUGUUUCUUCUCCGUGGGUGUAAAGAUUUAGGAUGUUUUUCUUCUUCUUGUCUCACAUCAUGAUUCUCCACUAUUUGUAUGUGAGAGAAAGAUGAUGUUGUUUUGUGAAAUGUUGGAUACAAUAGGCUAAUACUAAGAUGAAGCAGGCACACAGAAACCAGUGACUUAUAUUUUUGUCAAACUCCAGGAUGAAAUUUGAGGAUGCAGGUGUAGUAGUGACUACCAAGUAUCUUGUCUCCAGCAAGCUUGGGAUUUUGACAUCCAAUUAUCUUAUGAUCUACUGUUUCUUCAUUAGAAGCUACCACAGAUAUUUUUCUUAAUACCUCUGUAUUCUGUGUUGAACUUGCUGAAUGAAAACUUCAUCCUGCACAUACAUUGUCUAAGUACAUUAAAUCUUUGGGAUAGCUGAGGAUAUCAGAGUAGGGGCUUUAUGUCAGAGACAAUCAUCUUGUUGAUAAGGUCUUUGGCUAGUUAACUACUCAAUGGGUUCAACAUGAGAUAGCUGUUUUGUCAUGAAAAGGUGCUUGUUGGAGAACAUCUCAGCAAUUGUCAUGAGCCAACUUAAUUGAAACUUAAAACUAUUUGGGGUAAGCCAUGGUGAUUUCUUGCUAAGGUAGAGUCACCAUUUGGACUGUUAUCCUUCUAAUUGCUAGAAAGAGUUAUCUUUUAUAACAUUAUUAUCUUCCCAUAUGGAUUUGACAGGAGCAAAUGUGUCAAUGUAACUCUGGAUGGAGAUACAAAUUGAACUUGAGAAAUUUGCCUGCUACAAAACAAAGUUAUAUUUGACUUCAUUUGAAGCUUGAGCAGCAUUUUUACACUGUCCAGGACAAUCCAUUUUUCUCACUGUGUCACAAUAGUCCACAUACGCUUUUUGGUAUUGCAGGUUGGAGAAGGAUAGGAAUUUUAGUUACUUUUGGGUUCGAUGUGCAAAGCUUAUCUGUGUGACUCUUUUUGCAGUUCACUGCGCUGGUUGCUUCUACUUUCUUUUAGCUGCUCACUACCAUGAUCCCAAAAACACAUGGAUCGGUCUCAUGGAAAAUUUUGAUGAGCAGAGUUUGUGGGUUCACUAUAUAACUUCAAUGUAUUGGUCGAUCACCACCCUAACAACUACUGGUUAUGGUGAUUUACAUGCAGUUAACUCACGGGAGAAGCUAUUUGACAUUUUCUAUAUGCUAUUCAACCUUGGUCUCACAGCAUAUCUUAUUGGAAAUAUGACCAACUUGGUUGUUCAUGGAACUGGUAGAACUAGGAAAUUUAGAGAUACUAUUCAAGCUGCAUCAAGUUUUGCUCAAAGGAACCAGCUGCCUCCUCGCCUUCAGGAUCAGAUGCUUGCCCAUCUGUGCUUGAGAUACAGAACAGACUCUGAAGGCCUUCAGCAACAAGAAACUCUUGAUGUACUUCCAAAAGCAAUUCGUUCAAGUAUCUCACAUUAUUUGUUUUAUUCACUUGUUGAUAAGGUCUACUUGUUUCACGGAGUAUCAAAUGACCUGCUUUUUCAACUGGUUUCUGAGAUGAAAGCUGAGUAUUUUGCACCCAGGGAAGAUGUGAUUUUGCAAAAUGAAGCUCCAACAGACUUAUACAUUCUAGUGACUGGAGCAGUUGAACUUAUCGUGCUCAGAAACGGAAUAGAACAGGUGGUUGGGCAGUUGAAAACAGGGGAUGUUUGUGGUGAAAUAGGUGUUCUUUGCUAUAGGCCACAAGUUUUCACUGUUCGAACAAAACGUUUGAGCCAACUAUUGAGGUUGAAUCGCACUGAUUUUUUGAACAUUGUCCAAGCAAGUGUUGGGGAUGGGACCAUAAUUAUGAACAAUCUUCUUCAGGUGAGACAGGAUAUACUUUUAUUACCAAUUCUCUAUUCCUAUGGUUAAAAUGUGGAAUGGUCUCACUUUUGAGGGAUCUAGUUUGCAGUUCAAAUUUUCAGGUUUUAUAUAGUAGUUUUGCUUGCAAUAAUUUCGCAUCUGAGACAAUUGGAGAAUGUAGUUUUAUCCAUGUGUGAACUGAUUGAAAUGAGUUUUGUGUAAGCAUCUGCAUGGUAUUGCUUAAGAGUUUCUAGCAUGCACCCAGGGCCUUCUGUCUAUUGCUUUAGAAUAUUUGUAUAUUUUCUUAGGAACUCAAAUAAGUCAACAUAAAUUUCUCGCAAAAGGUAAUGACUCUUUUAUUGUUUCUGAGCUCUGCAUCACAUAAAAUAUGAAAAGAAUUGAUAAGGAAACAAGGAGCUUGUGGCGUUCUUCCAUUUUUUUUUGCUGGAGUAGCCAGAUGGUUAGGCAAGGCUACUUAUCAACCAUUCUUCAUGUCCCAUUGGUGGAAUAUGAGGAGUAUGAGUUGAGGGCUUCAUACACUCUAAUCUGAUAUUGCGAGAAGAGUAUGAGGGCUUCAUACACUCUAAUCUGAUAUUGUGAGCAUUUCUUUUAUGCCUGCGAGGAAAACAGUCAAUUUAUUUCUUUUUUUUCUUUUCUCGUGCAGCAUUUGAAAGAUCAAAUGGACCCUUUUACAGAUUCAAUUUUGGCAGAAACAGAACACAUGCUUGCGCAAGGGCGCAUGGAAGUGCCUCUUAGUUUAUGUUUUGCAGCAGCAAGAGGAGAUGAUUUACUCUUGCAUCAAUUGCUGAGACGUGGUACAGAUCCAAAUGAAUUGGACAGCAGUGGACGUACAGCACUGAUAAUUUCAUUUUCUGAUACAGCAUAUUGGAGCAUCAAAAGGGAGUCUUGAAUGCGUGCUGCUACUUCUAGAUUAUGGAGCAGAUCCGAAUAGAAAAGAUUCUGAUGGGAAUGUUCCCUUGUGGGAUGCGAUAUUGAAUAAGCAUGAAGCUGUUAUUAAGUUGUUAAUAGACAAUGGUGCAAAUAUAUCUUCUGGUGAUGUGGGUGGUUUCGCAUGCUUCGCUGUUGAGCAAAACAACUUAGAGUUGCUUAAAGACAUAAUUAAGUACGGUGGAGAUGUCACACUGCUUAACAGUUUAGGCACUACAGCGCUACAUACAGCUAUUUCUGAAGACAAUGCUGAAAUGGUUAAGUUCCUGAUAGAGCAAGGAGCUGAUGUUGACAAACCAGAUGUGCAUGGUUGGACGCCAAGAGCUUUAGCUGAUUAUCAGGCAAACGAAGGGAUAAAACUUUUAUUGCAGAAUCAGAAAAAAUCUACUAGACAACCUGUUGCAUCUUCCCCUCAGAUGCAAGCUGUAUCUUACCUCAAAAAAUACCAGAGUGAGCCUACCCUGCCUCCUUUAACCCCAGAAGUUGCAGUGAGUGUUACAGAGGCUGAUACAUCCAGAAACCGUUUGAAACGAAGGGCAAGUAAUUUCCGCAAUUCCUUGUUUGGGAUCAUGUCAGCUGCAAAUAGACCUAAUGAAGGAGGAAAGAGUAUUGCUGCAUCUCCAAUUAAUGUAAAUACACUUAAUCAUGCUAGAGUGACUAUUAGUUGCCGGGAAAGGGGCUGUGAUAUUUGCAGGCUUGUUCUCUUGCCAGAAUCAAUCCAAGAGCUACUUGAUAUUGGUGCAAAGAAAUUUGGGUUCUGUCCAACCAGGGUUUUUACUAAAGAUGGGGCUCUAGUUGAAGAUAUCGCUGUAGUGAGAGAUGGUGAUCAUCUUAUUCUGGCUGGUGAUGAAAUUGACAGGUCAAGAAGCUCAUGAAAAUGGAGUUAAAAAGAGCCGAAACACAUUGUUAUCCUACCCACAUGCCACAUAUUUCAUGGAUUAGUUCAAAAUCCCACGUAACACAAUUUUGUUAGAUGAAUAUAGAGCUUCGGUUCUUUUGCAUGGCAUCCCCUCCUUGGCCACCACCUAGUCAGGCAGGAUAUUUGAUAUGGCGCAAGCGAGGCAUUUGUGCCUGCUGAUGAUGGCCAAGAGCUAUGGUUUAAUCAUUUGUAUGCUUGGCCUUCGGAGAAUGCAGAGGUAAGAGAUAGUUGCAGGCUGGUAGUUGAGUUAUUUAUCAGAUCUUCAGGGUGGAAGAGAUGAUUAACAGUUCGAUAAAAGAGAGAAGGCAUUACAAUUAUAAUUUUCUCUAUAUAUUUGUCUUCAUAAACUUUUCUUGUACCAGCCAUGAUGUUGAAUGCCUUAUGUUUUAUACAGAAGCUGCAGUCUAUAUGAAGUCCUAUUGUUGGAACAAAAUGAAAGCAAUGCAUAUUAUUACAGAAUACUCGUGUUGUGAAACAACAGCAUAGAUUAGACACAAAAGGCAAUUGUAUAACAUGACAGAUUUUCAGUCUUCUUUUUUC